rnacentral:rRNA from 1 species
AUUGAACGCUGGCGGCAGGCCUAACACAUGCAAGUCGAACGGUAACAGGAAGAAGCUUGCUUCUUUGCUGACGAGUGGCGGACGGGCGAGUAAUGUCUGGGAAACUGCCUGAUGGAGGGGGAUAACUACUGGAAACGGUAGCUAAUACCGCAUAACGUCGCAAGACCAAAGAGGGGGACCUUCGGGCCUCUUGCCAUCGGAUGUGCCCAGAUGGGAUUAGCUAGUAGGUGGGGUAACGGCUCACCUAGGCGACGAUCCCUAGCUGGUCUGAGAGGAUGACCAGCCACACUGGAACUGAGACACGGUCCAGACUCCUACGGGAGGCAGCAGUGGGGAAUAUUGCACAAUGGGCGCAAGCCUGAUGCAGCCAUGCCGCGUGUAUGAAGAAGGCCUUCGGGUUGUAAAGUACUUUCAGCGGGGAGGAAGGGAGUAAAGUUAAUACCUUUGCUCAUUGACGUACCCGCA